AUUAUAAUCUGUUUAAAUCAUGCUUGUAUAAAACUCAAUUCGAUAAUUAAAUACUAAAUAAAGAAAGAAAUAUUGGGUAGCUUUUGAAUGUAUAAUAUAUUUCUACAAUCCACCGAAAAGUACACAAAAUGUUUACGUGAUUUUUUGUUGAUAGUGUUUGAGUGCACAAGUUAGAAUUAGUAAUUUAAUAGUGGCAGUCCAGUAUUACAAAACAAAAUGUAUACAUUCGCUUCUACUAACACUGGGGAAAAACACUCGAAUCAACAUCGUACAUUAACAUUGUAAAGCAAUAUUCUUAAAUUGCCAAUCCUACAAACUGCAACCCAAAGAACCAUCCAAAUGAAGUCAACAGAAAUUAUAUAAAUGUUUGGGUUCCUAACAAAUAAACAAUAUGGUGUUCACAUGGAAUCAUAAUAAUAAGAAUAACAACAGUAAACUGAAGCCAAAAUUAUAAAAUUGGAAAUAAGUAAAGGCAGAGAAAUACUAGAACUGAAAACUAGCCAUGAAAAUUCAGGUCCAACAUCGUAUUGAACUGGAGUCAAGAAAUAAAAGGUCUACAUAUUCUGAUGUGGUGUGUGGUGCAUGGUGGCUGAAUGGUGCUUAAAAAAUUACACUGAUAUUCUGCAGAUCAAUGUGGUCUACUCGAGCAAAUUUCCACUACGAUAAUAUAAAGGUUGCAGGUAAAUACCAACUUCUGCUCAAUAGUAACUAAGGGAGAUGUGGUUGUAAUACAAGUGACGAGUUAUGGCAGUUCUUAAGUCAUUGUGAAUGAUAUCAAUACUUGACAAUGCAGCAGUAUGGUUCCAUCUUCAUGAUUAAACAGAUUGCGAUAUAUAUUUAAAAGAUUCCAUGUAUGAUAAUAAAGAAUGUGGAAAAUAAACAAUGAUACUGGAGGGUUACUACAUAAUAGAGAACUACUUUAUGGCCUAGAAGUAGUAAAUUCAAAUAUAGUUUCAGUAAAAAAAAGUAUCAUCAUGCAAAACCACCUUCAUACUGAUACAGUACCAAUAUUUAUGGCACCAGCCAACCUCUUAUUGCUUCUGAACUAAAAUUUUUGUAUAUUUAAAAGAUUCUAUGUACUAUAAAGAAUGUGGAAAAUAAACAAUGAUACUGGGGAGUUAUACAUAAUGAAGAACUGCUUUAAGGCCUAAAAAUAGUAAAUUCAAACAUACAUUUGGUUAAAAAUGUAUCAACGUGUAACCACCUUCAUACCGAUACGCUACCAAUAUUUGUGGCACCAGCCGACUUCUUAUUGCUUCUGAACUCAAUUUUUCCACCGGUUUUCAUUCGGUAGAAGAUAUAGUGGAGAAUUCGCAAAAACGUUUAAAAAUGUUAUGAGUAUUGGAUUAUUUGUUUGCGAAAGUGUAUGGUUUAUGAAAGAGCAUACCGAGAAACCUGGCAACUUUGUCACUUUUUGGUGGAUAAAAAAAGUUUGGAAAGGUUUUUGGAGUUUACUCCUUAAGAAUCGAUUUACAUAUAUAGGCCCGGGGUAUGAAAAUUAUGGGGACCAAAAUCGUACUAGAGAGUAUAGCAUGUCACACGAAAUGCGUUAUGCACCUGAUUGGCCAUGGUGAUGCGUGCGCGCGCCAAUCAGGAGCCAACGCGCGGCCGCGUUAUCGCAGGUGACGCCGGGCUGCUGCGCCGGCAGUCCGCCACAAAGCCUCGUACUGAUCGCGCGUUUCUCUCAUUAUUGUAUUUUCAUAUAUUUGUUAGUCGUUUGUUUUGUGUCUCGUUAAUUUGUUAAUAAUCUGUAGUGUAUCGUGUUGUCGUAAUAUAGAACUAUUUCUCGUAUUGUUUCGUUUAAUUUACCGACAUCGUUUUGCUUGUGGCCGGACGCCGUUCGGGUUCGAUUCCUGAACGUAUCAACUGUUAGUGGGUUGAUACCCGAAUAUAACCCGCUACAAAUCAUUUAUUAAUAAAGCUUAUUAAAUAUAAACAAUUCCUUCUAUCAGUGAAUGGACAACUUAUAUAUUAAUUGUAAAAGUGAAUUAUAUAGACUUACUUAAUUACCGCAUCCACGUGUUCCGCAACUCCCGGAUCAUUCUCACUAGAAUACGUAACUUCCAUAUUUUACUGUAUUCAACUGACACAAAUUUAUAUUUAUAUCCAGUAAACUCCAGUCGUGCGUCGGAGCGGACACACACACUUUUUUUUCUUAAAAAAUCUGAGAAUAUAAAAAGCAAUCAAUCAGCUUGAUAGUGUAUUUUAUGCAUAAUUGUAAUGUAAUCAAAUAGGUAUCUAUUGUUUUCUUAAAUAUUAUUAAGUCCAAAAACAAAAAUGGCAAAGUUAACCAUCACUUGUGGUAAGAUUGCCAUACCCAAAUUUUGAAUGAAAUAAAUGGAAUUACUAUAAAAUGUCAGUGUUGUCAUUGCCACAGCUUGGUCACAGUAAAGAUAUACUAAAAUCUUAUCAUAUUCUCAACUAGCAAAUGAUUUUGCCUUGAUAGCGUUCAUGGUCACUUAUUACUCGGUUUGAGCAAAAUCCGUUCAGUGUGCUUAGUGCGAGUUUUGUAACGCUCUCGAUAGCGAGCCAGUUUGCUCAAAUUUGUAUGCAAUUGGAACAGCGCCCCUAGCGGCAAACGUACCCGGUGUUAUUUUGUGAGUGCGAGUUCAUAUUAACGUUGUGAUCUCGUAACCGAUUAAUUUUACCGAAAUGAGUACGGUACCACGAAUGACAUUUGUGCGAGUGCGUGUUACAAAUUAGUGAGUUUUAACGUUUCGAUCGAGUAUUUCUUUAGUAGUUCUAUUUUUCGAACUAGAGAGACAAAAGUAUCAUGCCAUAAAGCCUAAUCUUUUUUUUAUGAAAAAUGAUAAUAUGGAGUGAAAUGGAUUUGAUUAAUUUGAAGCAUUAAUCAAUUGGCAUGGGAUGAAAUGAAAUGAGAUCGGAUAAUAUGGGAUAAAAUAUAAUCUCUGCAAAAUGCUGAUUAUAUACUGAGAUUUUUUUCAGUGGACCUUUUCGAAGACUUCGAGAAGCUACGUCCAGCGGUUUUGUUUAUUUUUUUUUAAUUUUCGCUCUUUCACAGAUACUAAACAGUUAAUAAACCCACGUUACUUUGUUAUUGCAUAGAUGGGUGGACAAGCUCCCGGCCCACCUAAUCUUAAGUGGUUACCGGAGCCAAUAGACAUCUACAACGCAAAUGCCGCCUCCCACCUUGAGAUAUUAGUUCUAAGGUCUCAGUAUAGUUACAACGGUUGUCCCACCCUUCAAACCGAAACGCAUUACUGCUUCACGGCGGAAAUAGGCGGGGUGAUGGUACCUACCCGUGUGGACUCACAAGACGUCCUACCACCAGUAAUUACGCAAAUUAAUUUUGCGGGUUUGAUUUUUAUUACAUGAUGCUAUUCCUUUACAGUGAAAGUCAAUCGUAAACAUUUGAUAAGUACGUAUUUCAUUAGAAAAAUUGAUAUCCGCCGGCGGGAUUAGAACACCGAUGCAUUGCAAGAUACAAAUACACCGGACGCCUUAACCUUUAGGCCAGGACGGUCUCAAAAUUACACUUAUACACGAAGAAAUAUUAAAUACGCAUUUACUAAGAAACAUUAAAUAGACAAAAUAAAACAAUUCACACAAUUUAGCUCCUCGCGGGCCCACCAAAAUGUCUUUUCAUCUUUUUUUCCUAGUUGUUCAAUUGUAAAUGAAUAAAUCAAAAUCAAAUCGAGUUUACGUUCUAUACGGUGAAAAAUGAAGAAUUGUGAGUGUGAGUUGAGAUAUGCUACUCGCUUCGCAGGGCGUUUAUUCACCGAGAGCAGCAAUAAUAUUAUUUCUCGUAUAUUGGUAGCACGUGAUGUUUUGGCAUUAGACCGUCUAAAUGAAAUACAACGCAUUUUAACAGCAUUUUAAUGGGAACCAACUACUUUCAAAAUUAUUCGGGUAAUGUUCAAUACUAUUUUGUACCUUUAGAAUUAAAGUGGCUCAACCCAAAAUUCUUAGUUUCUGGUAAACUUCAAUAUUGUAAUACAAUAAUUGUAUUUUUUUAGUUUUUCGGGUUAAACACUUUAAGGCAUGCCAUUUUAUUUGAAAAAGACAGAAAGAGUACUUUGUCCUUUUCUAGACUAAAAGAGACUGUUUAAUUUAAUAAGCUGAUAGAAUAAUAUAGAAAAGAAUAAUAGGAUACCCUCUAAUCGUCACAUUGGAAAAAGGUAUGGCUUUAUCAUUUUAUCAUUUAAAUUAUUUUUUAUUGCACAUAUAAAACUAAUUUAAUUUACAAUAUGUAACUACAUAUAUCUAUAACUAAUCCGUACUUGUCAAAUUCCUCAUAAAUUGUCUUUUUUUUUUUUUUUCCUACCUAAGCUGAUAGCCCUAGCGGCUAUGUCAGCGUAACCCUAACUUUAGUAGGUGAGCUCACGGGGCUCAAACCUGACGAUGUUGCUAAAACGAACCCUAGCAAGAGCCGUGCUUCGCAGAAUCUACCACCGGAUCGGAAACGCGACCCACUGAGAAGAUCCGGCGAGAAACUCAGUGGGCUGUGUCUGAGAGUUAAUUUACUCGUCGAGCCCUUCGUCGCAAGCGACGGGUUCGACGAGAACGGUGACCGGUGCUUGAAGUACCUAAAAGCACCGUUAGUGGAUCGGGAGGAUCUGAGAUGACGUGUUUUGGGCGACGUCGACUGCUUUCCAUUCUGUCCGCAGGAUCGGGAAUGUAGUUACCGGCGGCCACGAUGAGAGGGUUCUCGUGUCGUGCCGCUUUAUCGAAGUGGCGCAUGGACGCCGACUGCAGAUACUUACUGAUGGACACUAAGUCCAGGUCGUCAUGGAGGUCGACAUUCCUGACGAACCACGGGGCUCCGACGGCUAUCCUGCAAAAACGGGAUUGAAUGACUUGGAAUGAUUUUAAGUGUAUGCGGGCCGCGUGAGCGAACACUACACUUGCAUAGGUCAUGACGGGGCGUAUGCAAGUUUUGUAGAGUGUCACCUUAUUUCUAAGGGACAUUUUACUUCGCCUACAUAUCAUCGGGAUAAAUUGUCAAUAUUCUUAAUAAAAUUCCUAUUAAUAAUAUACAAGUGCAAAUGUUGAGCUGCUUACCAGAAAUGAUAUAAUAGUGUUUUGUUUUUUUGUUGUUUCCUUGUAGGCUGCCUGUAAUAAUCUAAAUCUGUGUGAAAGGCAAUAAAUGAUUUUAUUAUUAUCUACUAAUGGUAGUCCAGUGGUCGAAAUUUGACCAUAAUUUAUUUAAAUUUUAAGUUUGAACAUUAUUAUAGUUCUAUUGUCACCUUUCUAUUAUCAUCAUUUCUAUAAUAAUCAUUGCUCUAUGUCGCCAAGGCUACAUUAUAGAAAAAUAAUAUUAAAGACAAAAAAUAUUAAUCUAUUCUCAAUUUGACCACAGAUUGAUAAAUCAAUAAACAAAAAAAGUAUAAAUGCAUGUUUGUGUGUGUGUGUGUGUCAAAUACAUGGUAAUGUGUGUAAGGUUUUUUUAUUCAUUUAGUUUAUUUUUUUAUUGUUUAUGCACAAUUAAAAAAAAAAAUUAGCAAUCUGCAUUACUUCUCUAUAUUCUCUAUAAGUGUGGGAAUUUUCAUACUUCUCCGUCCGCGCAAUUUUCGUAAAAAGGAGUACAACAUUUUUGCUUCACGUAUUACCUACUUAAAUUGUAGGUUCUUAGUACUUAAUACAUAAGUACUUAAUACAUAAGGGUUUUGAAAUAUAAAACUAAUCUUAAAUUUUUUUAGUUAUACCACUUCCAUUCUAAGGGUGCAAUUUCGUAAACAAACUUUGCCGUAAUGGCGUAACCUUUAAAAUACACGAAAACUGCCCAGCAUAAACAUAUUUUUUUAGUAACUUUAAUAGAAGUAUUAGAAUUAGAAGUUUAUUAUAGAAUUUAUUUAAUUGUAAUGACAUAUUUAGACAUACCUACUUAACAUAAUUAAUCUUGGAAUAGGUAAUUAUUUCAGCUUUUUUUAAUUAAAGAAAUUAUGUUUUACAUAGGUUUAAUCAUUUACCCGUUGAACGUUUAUAAAAUGAUUGUAUUUACGGUAAUAGUGUUGAUGAUCUUCAUUAGGUGGCCCAAAUAUACUAAAAUUAUUACGAGCAUCUAUCCUUAUUUAUAAAUGUGUAAAGAAGCAAAAUUAUUAUUACAUUGUUUAAAUUUCUAUAUAAUUUAUAAAUAUAAAUCUGUACGUAUGUAUCUGUAAAUAUGUAUAUUGCGCGCGCGUGUGUGUGUGUGUGUGCGCGUGUGUAUAUAUUUCUAUAAUAUAUACACACAUAUAAAUCUGGAAUUCAUUUCGAAAUUAUUCUUGCCCAUCUAAUGGUUGUCUGGAAGAGAUCACUCUUAGCGAUAAGACCAAGAAAGAAUGUUUCACAAUAUUUAUUCAUUUUGUGUACAAUAAAGAAUACUCUUUCACUGGUGGUAGGACCUCUUGGGAGUCCACACGGGUAGGUACCAUCACCCCGCCUAUUUCCGCCGUGAAGCAGUAAUGCGUUUCGGUUCGAAGGGUGGGGUAGCCGUUGUAACUAUACUGAGACCUUAGAACUUAUAUCUCGAGGUGGGUGGCGCAUUUACGUUGUAGAUGUCUAUGGGCUCCAGUAACCACUUAACAUCAGGUGGGCUGUGAGCUCGUCCAUCCAUCUAAGCAAUAAAAAAAAAGAAAAAACUCUUUCUCACUCUCUCUCUCUCAUCAAACAACUCUUUAAAAAAAAGCAAUGAUUUAAUAAGAAUUAAAUGAAAUAGCAAAGAAUUAAUAUGUAUUUACAACUAGCUAGACGUCUAUAAAAUUUUCUAACCGAAAAAAUAUAUGUGUAUAAACCAUUAGAAUAGAUAAAACCUUAAAAAACAACAUUAUUAAUAAAAACGAAAGAAAAAAUCUUGAUAUUGUAUUGGUUUCACGGCAAAAUUUUUAGUGACUACUUAACUUGCUUGAAAGUGAAGAAAUACUCUCAAAAUCCAUUAAUUUGCAACUCGCACUCGCACAUACAAUAAUCGAGAGCCUCACUUCGGUAAAGCUAUUCGAUACAUGAGACAGCAACAUAAACAAACCUUCUCUCUCCCACAAAAUGAGAUUCAUAAGCUUACCACUAGGUGGCACUGAUACAACCUCACACAAAUUAAACAUAACAUUAACAUCGACUGAGUAAUUAAAAAAACUCGCACUAAGCACAGGUACAUUACCCAUUACCCGACUAAUUAUAAAUAUCGUUAGAAAGCUUGGCAUUUCAAUUAAACGCCUUAAAAAAAACCUUGCGUGCUACCAAUAUAAAAGAAAAAAAUAUCGCUUCUCAAGAUGAAUAAACGUCCUGCAAAUCGAGUAACUCGCACUCAGAGCUCCGCACGUUUCACCGUGAAGAGCGUACACUCGAUGCGAGUCAUUCGAUUCGAUUUUUGAAACUCGCACUAAGCCUACAGUAGUCUUUGCUUGAAAGAGUAACACAUACCUAUCCAUCCAUAAAUCUUAACAAAUUUCAUAUAAAUAAUAAAAUUAUAAUUUGGAUCUGAAAUGAAGAAACAUUAAAAGUAGAUAUUAUAAUAUUUCGACAGUCCUAGCCUCCAAAAAAAAAUGGCAAAGUUCAUUCACAUCAGCAAAACUUGUUUGCUUGGUUUUGCCAAUAGUGAUUUAAUAAGACUAAAUUGCUUUAUAGAACGUAAAUUACCAUAACUUUGAUGAAAAAAACACUACUAAGAAAGUAAAAUCCACUUAUUUAUUUACACUAAACUUCCGGAGCACGUAGUUACCACAAAUUUAGCAGAUGCAUUUAGCAACCGCCAAAAAUGACAAUUCUUUCAAAUCUGGGUUGUCAAAUCAAAAUAAUCAAGAUGUCGCCAAUCAAAUGUUCAAAAGUAGUUCAUUGCAAAUGUUAUAGAACAUAAAGUUUUGACAAAGGGUUUAAAUGCAAAUGAAUUAGAAUUACUAAAGACGAAUUUAAUACGACAUGACAUAAAAUUCCUUCAAAACCAGAAUUUUCACGAGAUCGAAGCGUUGGGUGUACGCAUGUUAAAUCUGUUGGCUGAAAAUGACUUUAAUUACAGAGUAUUGACUCAAUCAAUGGUAAUAGAAGAAUCUAAGAUUGGUGGAAGAAAUGUACAACUACAAAAAAUUGUUUGGACUAUGUACAAAGAAUGAAAAUUGAAACAGUAUUAAUAAAUUGUAUUUAACAACAUAUAAGAAAAAUAAACUAAUUUCUUUUCUCUAUA